UUGCCUACGGGAGGCUGCAGAGGGGAAUAUUGGACAAUGGGCGCAAGCCUGAUCCAGCCAUGCCGCGUGAGUGACGAAGGUCUUCGGAUUGUAAAGCUCUUUUGGCGGGGACGAUAAUGACGGUACCCGCAGAAUAAGCCCCGGCUAACUUCGUGCCAGCAGCCGCGGUAAUACGAAGGGGGCUAGCGUUGUUCGGAAUUACUGGGCGUAAAGCGCACGUAGGCGGAUUGCUAAGUCAGGGGUGAAAUCCCGGGGCUCAACCUCGGAACUGCCUUUGAUACUGACAGUCUUUAGUCCGGAAGAGGUGAGUGGGAUUCCUAGUGUAGAGGUGAAAUUCGUAGAUAUUAGGAAGAACACCAGUGGCGAAGGCGGCUCACUGGUCCGGUACUGACGCUGAGGUGCGAAAGCGUGGGGAGCAAACAGGAUUAGAUACCCGGGUAGUCGUG
rnacentral:rRNA from 1 species